GGACGGGAUUUUACCAUGUUUGCCCAGGCUGGUUUCAAACUCAUGAGCUCAAGGUUACAGGCGUGAGCCACUGUGCCCAGCCUGCUCUGCAAUGUGGAUCCACAUGUGAGUCUUCCCUGAGAACAACUGGUAGCCAGUGGUAUUUAGCCUUCUUGAUCUCGAUUCAAGAUUGAUGAAAAUAAUGAAAAUUGUGACUCUAUGCAGAUUGUACCCACUGGGUACCUAGUAUAAGACAUUUUAACACUCAAGUACCCUGUCCAAGAGAAAGCACCGCUCAAGAGUUUUUGAAAGCAGGAAUGAAACAGGAACAGUUCUUCGUGGUGCUGAUAAUACCAUAAACUGUUUCUGAGGCUCCAGGUGCUUUGCCCGCUGGUGUUAGCCCUGUGUUUAUUGUUUUUAGAGCUGGAACCUAUUGCCUCAGGGCUGAGUGACCGUGAAUUUUCAUAUCGAGGAUAAGAUACCAACUUCCAACAGAACACUGGUGGAAAGUUUGUCUUUUUUCUAACAUUGGACGAUUUCCUUCUCAGGGAGAAAGGAAUCAAUGAUGUAUUAUUUGGCAUAUUUUAAAAUUACCUCCAGGGGCUGCAAUGGAGCGUGAACAGCUACUUUCCAAAGAGUAGAUUAGGAAUCCAUUGAGCACCGGUGCCAAGCCCAGUCAUGCCUCCAACUCUUCAGUGUGAUGUGCUUAUUGACUUAGCAUCUGACAGAGCUGAAAGAGCCUUCAGUGAGUCAUUCUGCACGAUCUCCGUGUCCCUGUUCAACCCAAAUAUCUGGCACUCUCCGACAGAGCCAACCUCUUGCUGCCCUGCUCAACAACUCACAACCGAGGCUGAGCAAUCCCAAGCUCUGCAGUUCCAAGGCUGAGAAGCAGGAGAGCCAAUGGUGCAAGUUUCACUCCAAGUUCCACGUCAGGAAAUCAGUGUUCCAGCUCCAAGGCCAUCAGCUUACAGGUCACUAGACCUUGAGAAGGCACAUUUGGACCUGCCAUCCUGGACUUUGAGCCGGAUGUGGCAACUGGAUCAGAGAACAAAUACGCCUUGGCUUCUGCUUCUGAGGACCUAUCUCUUUUCCAAAGCUGUUCAUUGUAUAAACAUCCUUGGAAAGAUACUCUGGAACAAAGACAGUGAUAACCUCUGCUCUAAGAUGUGCACAAAGGUGAGAAACCCAUGGAAAUUCUCUCCCAAUAUCAGACUGUAUUCUUAG
rnacentral:lncRNA from 1 species